UCUGUGAUGCCCCUUCAGUGGAUGUCAUUCUCUGACUGACAAGAGAAUGGCUGGCACUAUUACCAUGGCAACCAAUAACAGCCCACCCAAAGACCCUUCUACUGACAGAAAAGAUGGAGCACAAACCAGAACUCAGGAACUCCACCUCCACAAAUGACAACCAGAGCCAGAGGUCCCUGAACUGCAUGGCUAGAAAAUUACAUGCCAUGCACAUCUGCAGCAGCAAGGAACAUAAGGCAUUCUAGGGGAGAUUUAUUGCGUUCCUUCCCUCCUCCUUUUGGAAGGUUUCUGGAUGCCGUUCCCUGUGUAUAGCAUGUGCCUCCGGCUUAUCACUACGAAGAAAGAAAGGCAAGAGAGGGAAAUUGUCCUCAUAUGGGAGAACAGCAACAGCAGCAGCAGCAGCAACAGCAACAACAACAACAACAACAACAACAGCAACAGCAACAGCAAAAGCAGUGAACUUAACCCCAUGAGCACUUAGGAGAGGAAUGUGAGUCCACUCAUGAAGGCAGAGCACCUGACCUACAUGCUCCCCAGAGGGCCCCAGCUCCCAGCACUGCAGGUUAGGGAAUAUGGUUUCUAGCCUGGCAAUUUAGGAAAGGGCUGGACAUUUAAACCAUAACACCUACCUGGCCUGUUGGUCAGGACGGUGGUGCAGGAUUCUUUCUGACACCAGAACCCUGAAGCCCAGGUAUGAUUUUCCGGUCAUAUCCUGGCCAUCCACCAGAUGUGUGGCACUACUUGUUAUCGCUGUGUUAUUGCUGACACUUUGAGUACUGUUUUUGCUGCCAAAGCCUAACCCUUACAGAUAGGGCAUCCCAGAGAGGGACUGUGGCUCACCGCUUUUCACACACCUGGCUUUUUGUGCCAAAAGCAAGAUUAGAACCUGUGGCCCUGUCCUCUGCCCUACAGGAGUUAUCCCAAGAUUUUCACACACAUGUGAAAGACACCAUUUGGUUGUAGGUCUUGC